AUGAGUGGAGACGUCACAAAAGUUUUGCCUCCAAGAAUCAAUGGACCAACUACAGGAUGUUUGCAGAUGAAUGUCAAGACAAUCCGUUGGCUCUUUGAUUCCCCUGGUCAAGUCGUUGUUGCAACAUCCUGGUGGGGUGAUGACUCCAAGUGUCUCUUUAUGCCCAAAGAAGACAACCAACCCAUCAGGAAUAGAGUACAAAAUCGUCGUAUAUUUUCAACAUCUGUUCCAGUCAGGAGAAAUUUCUCACUUACCUGCAGUACCAUAACGAUUAAAGUUUUUAGUUCUGAAGAGAAAAAUGUCCUAGGAGUUGGAACUCUUGAAAAUUUGUCUCAAAUUUUUCACAACCGUCAUUACGAUAAUUUCGUUGAUGUAUAUGACAAAGACUCACAAUUGAUCGCAGAUGUGCAUGUUUGUUUCAAUCUAACAAUUUUCCCUGAAAAUUCUCCUCGAAGUUUCAUCCAGAGAAUUGAUUCUCAUGAAAAUGAUCUGAAUCCCCGACGAGCAAUUCCAUUUUAUUCUCAAGCUGAGAAGCUUAGAGUAGGGUUUGGUGAGAAGACAGACGAAGAACCAAGAUGCCCUGUGUUCAGUCAUUUGGAUGACACUAGGAAAUUGCUUGAGUAUCUUCAAGCCGAUGAAGAAAAGAAAAAGAUGUCUCUUGAACGAAGGUGCCCUGUUUAUAGUCAUUUAGAUGACGAACGGAAAUUGCUUGAUUACCUGAAAGCAGAAAAAGGAAAGAAAAAUGUCUCUCUUCUGGAUAUCACAAAUCUUUGUUUGACGGACGGAAGUGAUGAAACCAAUUUUGCAUUAUCAUCUCCUUCCAGUGAACUAUCAUCUACCAGUGUAAAAAGCUGCAACUCAAAUCUACAACUGAGUGCUUGCAAGAUUAUUUGAAUGGCUUCGACAUGUGCAAAGAAAAUAGAAUGAAAGCGCUCCAACUGUCAAAGAAAUCAACUUCAAGUUUAAUUAAUUUUGCAGAAGUGUCGGACAAAGAGGAGGUAAUGAGGGUAAUGAAUCGCGUUUCAGCAUGAAAAGUAAUUUUUAUACUUAUUUUAGAACAGUUGGUCUAGAAUGAAAAAACCGAGUGACCCAGACAUUCAGAGAGCGCCCGAUCACAGGCCCGACCUGGUGUGCGAAUAUGUGGAAAGGCCUCGAUUUUGUGGCCAAAAAAAAUAUGGAUAUGUGGUAAAACUUAGGAGGGUAAAAAAUGUUGCACGUCUCAGCAUAAGCCUACAUAAAGAUUCGUGAUACUUGCCCUUUCCUGCGGACAACCUAAUUAAUACAAUUUGUAGGAAUUUUCAAACUAUUCCUAAAGAGAGGAAGGCAGGUCGACUAAUUCUGAUUGAUCAAGUCUCGUGUUUUGCUUCUACCUUCGAUAAAAUCGUUUCAAAAUCAGGAGGAAUCCUGAAGAUAUUUCUGCUUUCCUAGUGAAUGAAUGUAUGGAAGACUUCACACAUUUUCGGGACCUCUCCACAUUUCCUUCAACUGGAUGAAAGUUUUUUAAAAGUUAUGAAAAGAUGAUGCAGACAGUGCCAGAAGUCAGAAAAGUGCACUUUUUAUCAUCCUUCGUUAUCUUAUGCUUUUUUACGUCUCUUCCAUGUUUUUACAGAUGUCAUCCUGAAAUUGUGGAAACCUCUCCAUAUUUUUUCCAGUAAAGGAAAGACAUUGGAAAGUUGAGAGAAGAGGCUGCUGACGUUGAUGUACAUUUAUGGGCCAUCCUUCUGGAAAAAGUUGAUGUGUGGUAUCAAUCUCUUCGUUAUGAUGUCUUUAACCAGAAUUUGGAUGGUGGUAACCUUGAAAAUUGUGCAGAAAGCGCCUAAAGUAAACGGCGACCGCUCGGCAGCCACUUUUUUCAAAAGUUCUGUAUAAUGCAUCAUGAAGUAUCUAUUCCUAUGUUUUUGGGGUCGUAGAAUCCGAGUAUCAUGUUUAAGAUUUCCCUGGUUGAAAGAAAUGUCGUAAAUCCAUCAAGGCAACUGAAAAUACCCACGCGGCGAGAAAAUCGCUUUGUAAUCAUUUGACCGUCAAGUGAGGCUGCCACUGAUUGUUUUAUCUGAGUAUAGAGUUACAACUCACUGCACAUCCCAUACAAACCCCCCAAAGCCAAUAUGGCGGCCAUUAUGGCCGCCGGUAGAAACCCUUUUAAUUGGUAUCGGCGAAUAGCGUCAAGUGGAGUAUAGCUUCUAAUGUAUUUUUGGUCAUUCAUUACGAAUAUGAAGUCAAAAAUUACUCUUGACCAAUCUGGAAGCCUGUAAAUCCAAUUUGGCUACUAAAGUGCAGCCGUAGGAUAAUAGCUGUUAUAUUUAGCAAAAGGUGUUAUUUAAUGCAUUUCUGGGGCUCUAUGUUCCAUCAGAGUGGUUCUUCUUAGGACUUUUGAGAACUAGAAACUCAACACCUCUGCAAAGCAAGUAAUUUGAUUAAAAAUGAACGUAUGACGGAAAAAAAAUUAUUAUCACCCGUGCCGCACAGGCACUGAAGUUGAGCUCGAUUUGCGGAGUUUGCAGUUGCUGGCCGGUUGGUCCGUCGCGUAAGGGAUAAAAACGUGCCAAGCAUCUAAAGGAUGGUGUUUAUGUUUAGAGGUGGUGGGUGAAAAGUAACGAACAAUGUGUUGUGGAUUAAUCCAUAUUACAUUCUAAAAAUGAAAAGACACGUUCACAUUAUAAGCAAUUGGUUGGCCGACGCCAUACUGAGUCCUCUCCCUCUCGGGGCCGUGUUGCCAACCUGUGCUGGUUGAUACCAAUCUAGGCUAUCCAACAGUUUAAGCACAUCCUUUUAUACACUUGUACGUAAGUGCCACGGUUUAUGUCUCAAAAUUUCAUUAUUAUCCUUUUUUCUCCAUCAGUGUCGCCAUAUUCCCAAAAAUGACUAACAGAUCAAGUCCUCUGCCGACUCGGCGCGUCUCGCGGAGUAUGAAAACGUGCCGGUCUAAAUCUGAAAACUAGUCUAUAAGCACAACUUUUUAUUAACUUGUAUGCCAUUAACACAGUUUUCCCCCCCAAACAUUUUCUAAAUACCCCUCUUACCACCUUAGUGUAGCCACAUUCGCAUUUUUGACGCUAACGAGCUGCACUCGGCAAGGUAUGAACGUGUGCGGCUUAAAAUAUAAUAACCGGUCUUCAUGCUAAAUUGUACACGUAUUUCUAGGAAGUGACCAACGCAUUUGUUCGGAAAGAGGUUUUUUAAAAACCGCUGAUAUUUCCAACCCCCCCCCCCCCUCCUGACUUUUGCUCAGAUGUACUACGUGCUCCCGAUGCCUGGGCAAAAUUUCAGCCCCCUUGGAUAAUUAAGGGGGAGGGGGCAGGAAGGUAAAUUGGCCACUUUGGCAAAACUUUAUAAAUCGAUAUCUCGCGAACGGUUUGCGCUAAAAAACCUCAACAAAUAUUCUGUACACGUACAUUAGGGUGCGUCAUAUUUGGGGUAAGUCUGAAAAGUCAUGACAACACAUCUUUAAUCGGUUCCAUUUCAUGAAAAAACAUACCAAAAAAAAUUUCAGCUCAAAAUUCGAAAAUUUAGAGGUCGCUCAAAGGCUUCAAAGUUUACGAUUUCGGCGAAAUUUCUUAAAAUUUCUUCGAUAUUGACGAAUCUUCAGGACAAUAAAGAAGAGAAAAUGUUCUAAUUUUUUUCAUCCUUCAUGGUAUAUUUAACUGCAAUAUUACAAAUUUCCACACGCUAUGAUCCCUCGGGUCACAAAAAUGACCUGGGUAGGAACCCGCAAAAGCCGUCUGUCGUGCGAUCUUAGCCGGAGUUUGGAGUCCCGGCGCGGCGCGUUAGGGUGGUCCAAGUUAACAUGGGAAUUUUUUUUUUGGCUCAAUGAACCGCGACGCCCCCUAAAUUUGUUCCUUACCAUUCAAAUAUGAUACCUGCCAAAUUUUUCGCUCUCCGACAGUAUUAACACGUGCCGACUUGAGGCUGAAAAUUUCCAAAAAAAAUUACAUUGAUUUAAAUGGGGCGACAAUGGACCGAUCCGCGGUAUUUCGUUUUUCGGCUGUAAAAUGUGCCAACAUGAAAAUAACUUGAUCUUCACUCACGAUGAUACCUAGAGACCUAUUGUGAAUGAGAAAAUCGCACAUUCGACCCAUGAGGAGGGGGGAAAGGGGUCAAAGCGGAGCCGAUUCGGUAUGCAGACAGUAUGUCUACAGAAAAAAGGGCUACCUUUUUUAGUCUACAGUCAAAACGUCUACAUUAAAAUGCCUACUGAAAUUAUGUCUACAGUCAAAUAUGUCUACGCUAUUAAAAUGUUUACGGUUUGUUUGCCCACUUGGAAA
rnacentral:lncRNA from 1 species